CAUUACUUAAGGUGGAAGGCUACAUCGUCAAAACAUGUCUGACUUCCGUUCGAAACGCCAUUGUGUUCCGGAUUGAUAACAUUAUGUCGUGGUACAAAAUAGCUAUACACCGUUUAAUUGAACUCUUCUAACUAAGGAGGUGAGAUAGGACUGAAAUCACCAAAACGCUUAGAAAAUAAGUCAAUUUUCUUCCUGUUUAAAGCUUUUAACUAACAUUGAUUAUCAGCUGUUUUAUACGGAAAACGUGGAAUCUAGAUAAUAUACAGUUUCCCUGCUCUGCUGCUAUUGGCAAUACAUUUUUGUCAUGUCAUCUGCAACAGACGAUCAUACAUAUGAGGCGGAUUAUCGAUAUAGGUAAGCAGAUGUCAAAUUUUCAUUUAAACUAUAUAUGUAUGAUGAAUAUAAAACGAAAGUACCGUAGUACGAUCUCUUGAAUUGAUCCUAACUUCCCAAAUUUAAAAAAAACAUUUGCAGUAAAAGACUUUCAUUGAAACUUUGACAUUAAACUAAUGUAUUUUGAUUAAAAUAAAUACAGCUAGGUAGCAAUAGCAGUGGAGGCCGGGAUUUGCAGGCCAAAUGAGGAAAAGACAGAAUUCUGAUAAGGAGCAUGUUUUUCAUUUCCACACAUGCAUGUGUAUCACUAUGGACAUCUAAUGUUUUUGUGGGAUUUUGUCCAGCAGUUUGCCUUAAAAGAAUUUUUUUAUAUUUUAGUUUCAUAUUUAUGUGGAUUCCAAUAAAAAUCAUACAAACUUCA